rnacentral:tRNA from 1 species
AAGAAAGAAUUGCAAGAACUGCUAACUCUCGCCCCCAUACUUAAAAAUAUGGCUUUCUUA